GGAGCUCCACCCUGAACUGCCGCUGGGCCGCCCCGGGGGAGACUCCUACCCUCGCCCCGCCUGGGAGGGGUCUGCCCAGCAAGUCUCAAACCCAAGGCUUCCCCAGCCCUGGAGGAAGAGAGGGUGGGGAGGAGAGUGGAGGAAGCUCAGGCAGAGCAGCAUAAAGGCACGGAGGAAACGGUGGCUUCUGCAGCCUGGAGGGGUGGAAGGCGGCCCAGGGAACUCACAGGGAGCUGGAGCCCCAGCAGCUCCGCACCAAAUUUAUCCUCAAUCACACUCCCCGCUCCUCACAAUUAAUAGCAGAAUUAGAAACAAUCAGGGAGCUGCCUAAUUACUGUCAAUUAGAGCGCGCUAAUCAAGCUCCGUCUCCCACACCCCGCCCGGCGCUCAGCACUAAAUGUCAAACUUCAUUAGAGGCAGACAUGCUCCCUCCCUCCCCGCCUUCCUCUCUCCAGACUCAACACCCCAGCACAGGCCGCAGGGUCGGUGACCCCGGGCAGGGCCCCAGCUCCCCUUCUCAGGCCCUCCACCAGCACUGCCCCCAGGGGGGCUGGGGCUGGGACCGGGGUGGGCAGAUGCCCUGUGCCACGGGCACCCAGCUCCUUCCCACUGGCUGUGCUCAGGCAAGGAUUUGUGCUUCUCUACGGGAUGGGGGCCUGGGAAGGGUCUCUGGGAGGCAAAUCAGGGAGAAGAGUUACUGCCCGGCUGCCCAGCAGGGAGCAGGAGGGCCAGGAGAGCAGCAGGUGUGCCCGGUUCCCGGGAGUCUCCAACCUCUUACACCCGCACUCAGGAGCACAGAGCUGCAGGUGGGAUCUGUGGCCCAAGGGCUGGGACAUGGGUAAGAGUGUGGAGAGGAUGGGUGUGUGUGAGUGGAGGUGCUUGCAGAAGAGGAAGAGGGAAGAGAUAAGGGGGAGGAAGAGUCGAUGUGAGCAAGGUACAAAAAACCACAUAGGGAAGAAAACGAGAGAGGAAGGAGAGCAGGAGGCUGGGAGGGAGAGGUAAGGGCGGGUGGGGCCUCAGCCUUUCCCGGGAGGCAGUGUUGGGGUGAGGAGGCCCUUCUCUGGACAACCCCCAGCCCUGAUCCGUCUACAGGGACCCCCUCUCCACGCGGGCAAGUCGCUGCUUUCGGAACUCGUUUAAGGCCCCCAGCCUCCGACCUCCCUACUCAGCCGCUUCCCCGUCCCCGUCCCUCCCGUGUUUGAGAAAUUCCAGCUGGAUACUGACCAAAAACGAGGGGUUCACCAGGUACUGAGCCAGGCUCGCUGGAGAACCAGAGGCCUCACACGGGCCAUCCAGGGCCCUCCGUGCCCAGUUCCAGGCUUCACACCCCUCCUCUCUCCAGGAACACAAAGGGAGGAGCAGCAGAGCCAGGGGAACCAAAGGCCCCGGGAGCACCAAGGCCGGGGCAGCGGGGCCGGGAGUGCGCCCCCAUCCCAGGCACCAAGCCACCUGUGGGGAGACUGUGGGAACAGCCUCAGGGCCUCGGAGCCGGACUUGGGAGCCUACGCUGCCCUUUCACCUCGGUCAACCCAAGACAGGCUGGGGCCUGAGGCCAGAAGGCCAUGGCCCAGAGAGGUCUGAGGACCUGGGGGCACACCCUGCGGGUCUGAACUGCGAGCAGAGGAGCUGGCCAGGUGCUGAGGGUCAGGAACGGGGCAGAGGUGGGGCCUGGAGCUGGACAAAGCCAGGGGGACCUGCCCUGCAAGCACAGGGGUCAAGUUCCUGGAAGCCCAGGAACAGGAAGCUCUGAGCUGAAGCCACUAGACGGUAAAGGAACAGGACAGACAUCCAAACGCUCUGGGGACAGUGCAGCACCGAAAGGUGGGGGCAAAGUUGUGUUUCUCUUGUAUCUGUCAUGACACCCAAGGCAGGACCAGACACACAGCAAGUGCUUCUUAACACACGUGUGGCACCAAGACUGCCAGCCAGUCCACCCUGGUCCAGCCCCUUCCAGGCAACAUGCUGAUGCUCCCUCUCCAGAAUCCUGCCCCUCCCACUCUGCCUAACAGGUCCCUGCAAACUUGGCCUUUCUCAGGUGCCCUCCCAGGAAACCUUCCAGGGAGCAGCCUCGGUUCCUAACUUCUCAGACACUGCUUCUUGCCACCCCUUGCCAGCUUCCAUCUCCUAGGUUCCAGAUCUUACUCCCCCCUCAUCCCCAGCCUCACCCAAAGACAUCACAGGCCCAACUUCCUCCCCAAGUCCCCCAACCCAAAACCCCGAGGGAGGGCAAGUGCUUUCCCUUUUCUUUGUUAAUUCUCCCCUCAUUACGCCUGCAAUCCCACAAUCAGUGUGCACUGUAAUUGUCGAAUUUGAUGCUAAUGAUUAAUGAAUUAAACAUGGA